rnacentral:rRNA from 1 species
GACGAACGCUGGCGGCGUGCCUAAUACAUGCAAGUAGGACGCAGUUGCGAACGGGUGAGUAACGCGGAGGUAACUGCCUAUUUGAGGGGGAUAACUAUUGGAAACGAUAGCUAAUACCGCAUACUAGUAGAUGGACCUGCGUUGUAUUAGCUAGUAGGUAGGGUAAUGGCCUACCUAGGCGACGAUACAUAACCGACCUGUGAUGGUUGUCGGCCACCCUGGGACUGAGACACGGCCCAGACUCCUACGGGAGGCAGCAGUAGGGAAUCUUCGGCAAUGGGGGGAACCCUGACGGAGCACCGCCGCGUGAGUGAAGAAGGUUUUCGGAUCGUAAAGCUCUGUUGUGAAGGAAGCGGUACUUAACCAGAAAGGGACGGCUAACUACGUGCCAGCCGCCGCGGUAAUUC